rnacentral:rRNA from 1 species
AGAUCAUCACUGGGUAUAAAGAGUGCGCAGGCGGUUUUGUAAGACAGAGGUGAAAUCCCCGGGCUCAACCUGGGAACUGCCUUUGUGACUGCAAGGCUGGAGUGCGGCAGAGGGGGAUGGAGUUCCGCGUGUAGCAGUGAAAUGCGUAGAUAUGCGGAGGAACACCGAUGGCGAAGGCAAUCCCCUGGGCCUGCACUGACGCUCAUGCACGAAAGCGUGGGGAGCAAACA